rnacentral:rRNA from 1 species
ACGAUGAAGCCCNNUCGGGGUGGAUUAGUGGCGAACGGGUGAGUAACACGUGGGCAAUCUGCCCUGCACUCUGGGACAAGCCCUGGAAACGGGGUCUAAUACCGGAUAUGACACGGGAUCGCAUGAUCUCGNGGGGAAAGCUCCGGCGGUGCANGAUGAACCCGCG